UACGGGGGGAGCAAGCGUUGUUCGGAUUUACUGGGCGUAAAGGGCGCGUAGGCGGCCACCGCAGGUCAGUUGUGAAAUCUCUGGGCUUAACCCAGAAAGGUCAACUGAUACUGCGGGGCUAGAGUGCAGAAGGGGCAACUGGAAUUCUCGGUGUAGCGGUGAAAUGCGUAGAUAUCAGGAGGAACACCUGCGGUGUAGACGGCUUACUGGACCAUAACUGACGCUGAGGCACGAAAGCGUGGGUAGCAAACAGG
rnacentral:rRNA from 1 species